rnacentral:rRNA from 1 species
CCAAAUAGGGAGGAAAAGAAACCAACAGGGAUUGCCUCAGUAACGGCGAGUGAAGCGGCAAAAGCUCAAAUUUGAAAUCCCCCGGGAAUUGUAAUUUGAAGAGAUUUGGGUCCGGCCGGCGGGGGUUAAGUCCACUGGAAAGUGGCGCCACAGAGGGUGACAGCCCCGUGAACCCCUUUAAAGCCCUCAUCCCAGAUCUCCAAGAGUCGAGUUGUUUGGGAAUGCAGCUCUAAGUGGGUGGUAAAUUCCAUCUAAAGCUAAAUACCGGCGAGAGACCGAUAGCGAACAAGUACAGUGAUGGAAAGAUGAAAAGCACUUUGAAAAGAGAGUGAAAAAGUACGUGAAAUUGUUGAAAGGGAAGGGCUUGCAAGCAGACACUUAACUGGGCCAGCAUCGGGGCGGCGGGGAGCAAAACCACCGGGGAAUGUACCUUUCGAGGAUUAUAACCCCGGCCCUUACUCCCNCACCANCCCGAGGCCUGCAAUCUAAGGAUGCUGGCGUAAUGGUUGCAAGUCGCCCGCUAAAAACCGCGGG